UAUCUCUGUAGAGUCUGCAUAUCAAUAAGCGGAGGAAAAGAAACUAACAAGGAUUCCCCUAGUAACGGCGAGUGAAGCGGGAAGAGCUCAAAUUUGAAAUCUUCAAGGUUUGACCUUGACGAAUUGUAGUUUAAAGAAGUGUUUUCGGUUAGAGGAGUAGUAAAAGUUCUUUGGAAUAGGACAUCAUAGAGGGUGAGAAUCCCGUAUUUGACUAUUCUUUCUAGCUUUGUGAUACACUUUCAAAGAGUCGGAUUGUUUGGGAAUGCAGUCCAAAAUGGGUGGUAAAUUUCAUCUAAAGCUAAAUAUUGGCGAGAGACCGAUAGCGAACAAGUACCGUGAGGGAAAGAUGAAAAGAACUUUGAAAAGAGAGUUAAACAGUACGUGAAAUUGUCAAAAGGGAAGCGUUUGACACCAGUGUUGUUUUUUCCGAAAAUCAAUUAAAAAUUGAUUCAUGCCAGGUUGUAUUGACCUUAUCAGCUUGCAAUUUGGUUUUGGGUCUCUUUUUGAUGCACUUUUCGGUUAACAAGUCAACAUCAAUUUCCUUUGCUGUAAAAAGGUAAGAGGAAGGUGGCUUCAAUUUCGGUUGAAGUGUUUAUAGCCUUUUAUCUCUGCAGUCGGGGAGAUUGAGGUCUGCAGCGUAGAUCCUUCGGGGCUAGAUACAUUUAUGCUAAGUUAUAGCUUUUCAUAGACAACUUGUUGACUAUGUUUAGUCAUGUAGCUUACUCGUAAGUGCUAUUUUACCUACGCUUAGGAUGUUGAGCGCAUGUCUCUCUC
rnacentral:rRNA from 1 species